AAAGACGAGUACAGUGAGAGACAGACAGAUACAGUAAGAGACAAACAGGUACAGUGAGAGACAGACGGAUACACUGAAGGAUAGACAGGUACACUGAGAGAAAGACGAGUACAGUAAGAGACAGACAGGUACAGUAAGAGACAGACAGAUACAGUGAGAGACAGACAGGUACAGUGAGAGACAGACGGAUACACUGAAGGACAGACAGGUACACUGAGAGACAGACAGGUACAGUGAGAGACAGACGAAUACAAAGAAGGACAGACAGGUACACUGAGAGAAAGACGAGUACAGUAAGAGACAGACAGGUACAGUAAGAGACAGACAGAUACAGUGAGAGACAGACAGGUACAGUGAGAGACAGACGGAUACACUGAAGGACAGACAGGUACACUGAGAGACAGACAGGUACUGAGAGAAAGACGAGUACAGUAAGAG